GGAGGGGUGUCCGAGUGGUUGAAGGAGGCGGUCUUGAAAACCGUUGAGCCCUUGCGGGUUCCGUGGGUUCGAAUCCCACCCCCUCCGCCA
rnacentral:tRNA from 1 species